rnacentral:rRNA from 1 species
UGGGGAAUUUUCCGCAAUGGGCGCAAGCCUGACGGAGCAAUACCGCGUGGGGGAGGAAGGCUCUUGGGUUGUAAACCCCUUUUACUCGGGAAGAAGGUCUGACGGUACCGAGGGAAUCAGCAUCGGCUAACUCCGUGCCAGCAGCCGCGGUAAUACGGAGGAUGCAAGCGUUAUCCGGAAUUAUUGGGCGUAAAGCGUCCGCAGGUGGUUUCUCAAGUCUGCUGUCAAAGACUGGAGCUCAACUCUGGGAAGGCAGUGGAAACUGAGAGGCUAGAGGCCGGUAGAGGUAGCGGGAAUUCCCAGUGUAGCGGUGAAAUGCGUAGAGAUUGGGAAGAACAUCGGUGGCGAAGGCGCGCUACUGGGCCGAGCCUGACACUCAGGGACGAAAGCUAGGGGAGCGAAAGGGAUUAGAUACCCCGGUAGUCC